CUUGCAGUUGCCCUUCGUGUAUAUAUUGUUAUGUUUCAACAGAAUGAAAUGAAGAAAAGCCGUCAAACUCAUAAUUAUAAGUUGGAUGUUUAUUUUUUGUGUACGGAACUAAUAUAAAAUAACAUUAUCUGGGUGCGGAAACUGUGCAUCCAGACCGGGGCUAGCCCGGAACCCUCGCUGACAGGGCGAGUGCUCUACCGACUGAGCUACCGGACCGCUUACAGACCUCCUCGCCAACUGUAUAAGUAUCGGUACCGUGACAAUACGAACCAGGCCUUGUUUGCGGCUAAAAUAUGCAAAUUAUAGUCAAACUGGGCACCCUGUCCCUCGUCUCCGGAAGAGAUUAAGUCGUCCGCGUCCACCAAGAUGGUUGCCGGAAUUAACUGGACAAUGAGGCUCUUGAGUGGAGGAUGGUCCGCGUUGGAGGCAGACCGCGGGCGCCUUCGCGGCAUGUACCCUUGAGGGAGAUGCAGAACAACAGCAUACGUACCGUUACUAUAGACGGGUUCAAGGUACCGUUUUGAGCCGGAGUUUACAUCAAAAUGCCACAAAAACUAUCCAUUUACGGAUUCUUUGAAAUGCGAUUUCCUUGUUUUUAAUGGAGGAGCUGAUUGGUCCCUAGGGUGAUCUCUUGGACUGAGAAUCAUAAAAAAAUGUGUUUUAGUACUGUAUGAUACACAGUAUAAAUAAGUAAUCAACUUUUGGUCGUUUAUUUUUAUACAUUAAAUAUUUUUAAAUUUCAUACAAUCUUUAUCAUUCACAAGUUAUGAAGGUUAGCAGAUUUUGUAUUGAGACAUAUGUAUGGAAACGAGCUCAGAUCUACAAGAAUUUUUCGAUAAAACAACUGUAUUCGUCGCAUGCAUGUUCAGA